rnacentral:lncRNA from 1 species
CCAUUUUAGGGAUUGCUCAGCCCCUUCUUUCUUCCCUUCUUCGUUUCUCUAGAUUUUUCCAGAUUGAUGGAGAAUGAACAGCAGAUUUUGGGAUUUCUUCCCUUCUUCCUCAAAAUCCAGUAGGCUAAGAUGAGAGCAACGGAUUUGAAGACGAACACGAUCCAGAGAGGCAGGGUCCCGCGACCAGUGACGAGGCCGAAUCAGGCCGCUGAAGAUGAACACGAUCCAGAGAGAUUUUC